rnacentral:lncRNA from 1 species
UAAAUAAGACUGACAAGAUUAUUGAUAUGAUAUAUGUUGCUUAUGGUAAAGUUAAUGUAAUAAAUUACUAAAUUGUAUAUGUUAGUACAAUGGUGCCAUCUUGUCUGUGGUGCCAUCUAUACCCCAGACACCAUCCUUGGCUGUGGCCCCCAUUGCCAUUGCUAUAAGCCAAGUGACCAGAUGGUCCAACCACAGGUGUCAGCUCCACUCCCACCCUAAUGAGAUUUGCUGCUCCUAUUUCCCUGCCCCUUGCAAAGGUGAAAUAGGACCUGUUUCCUGUACAUGUAUCCUCCUGACUCCUCUCUUACUCUCCCAUUCUCUCCUCCCAGCCCGUUGGGCUUCUCCCACCUGACAAUAAACAUUUCCCUUAACUCCAGUGUUUGGUGUGUUUUGUGGCAGCCUUAAAUUGGUACCAUGACUUGGAUCUAGGCUCUUCCAUUGACCUUGCUCUCCCCUGGGGACCUGAGCUGCUUCAAGAUCCUGAAUUUAUGCCAGCCACAAAACACACCCCUAGGUCCUCCUUGACACCACAGAAUGCUCUGUGAUCACCACACAUCAGCCUUUCAAAAUCCUGAGGUAAGACAGGGAAUAGGGAAGUCUCUCACGGCGACCUCUACCAUGGGUUAUGGCUCCAUUCUGCUUUGUCUUGAAGUCCUGGUACCAGGUACCAUAACCUCCCAAGGGCUUUAUGCCUUCCAUGCCUUCUGCCUUUCCACAGGCUCUAUGCCUUCCACGGGCUCUAGGCCUCAGGCACCAGUGGGUAUGUGAGUGAUGACCCCCACUCUGUUCCUGUACCCUCCCCAUUGGACAGCCGUGAGCUUGGGGAUAUCUGAUAUCCUUCAGUCCAACUCCACCAGUUGCCAUGGGAACUUCUCCCUCCUGUGUUCCAUCCAACCCUCCUCUCAGUUGUCUCCUACCUCUACAGCCAGUCCACAUUUGACUCUGACACUAUUCAAGAUCUUUAUCACUUCUGAAUUCCAACUUUAUCUCGGAACCACCCCUUGUCCAAAGUCUACUCCCCUGCCUUAUCUAUGAUACUCUCUAACACCCUCCUCCCAGAAAACAAAAGCAUAAUGGCAAGGAGUGGUGAUUCCAUUCUCCUAAGCUCUCAAGUCAUCUAUCCCAACCUUUUGAUGGCUCUUUUGUUUUAUUAUGAGCAAACCAGAAAGGAUUAAUCAGGUAUUUUGAUGGAUUUUGUCCCCACCUUGUAACUGAAUGUCAAGCUGACCUCAGCAGGUCCCUUCAGUUCCUACAAACUUGAUUUCCUGGACCAAUUAGUGAGCAUUUCCUAGACUGGCCCUUCAAACCAGCUGGCUCACUGGGUUAGUUAGUAUUUCCAGAUAUAUCUCCUUUUUUGCUAAUUGCCCCUUACUCUGUCACCUAUCAGAAUCUUUUCCUUAGGAAUUUUUGGAGGGGUGCCCAUCUCCUCUGUUGGAUGCCCUCUCCCAUUAAACCUAAUAUAAUGGUGAACAAUCUCCAGUGGACCUUGUGUCCUUGGCACAUCAGCCCCUGGUCCACAGUCAGCUUUGGAACCUGUCUUGCAGCUGCCUGAACUUUUUGUUUGAGAGGCAGUCCCAAAUGGCUGAUGUUGACUAGGGUAUCAUUGGCCUAAGGUGUUCUCUGGGUAAAAAGAAAAGUAGCCCAAAAUUCAAUUAGAAGCUAAAAAAAGUCUUUGGUAAGCAAUAACCUCAUGCAUGAAAAUUUGACUCAGCUGUAACUGGACACUGGAUUUGAAGAAAUGUCUCUCUUUGAAUCUAGGAGGUUCACUGCCUUUAAAAAUAUUGCUUUGUAACGUGCUGAACUUGUUUUGCAAUUUGUUUUAGAAGAUUUCUGAUGAUAUAGCAAUGGGUAAUCGGUACUCAUUACAUAGCCCCUAAGGUCGAUUUUGCAAUCUCUAGUUUAAUGUCACUGAUUUAUAGCUAGAGUUUUAUAAAAGGAGUAGAAUUCCAUAUGAAUGCAAUUUGGACCUUAAUUCAGAUAGGGGUAUCAUAUAAUACCAGCAUCCUCUGUUAUCCAGGUAUAAUUGCUAAAUGUA